GUGAACGCUGGCGGUAGGCCUAACACAUGCAAGUCGAACGGCAGCACAGUAAGAGCUUGCUCUUACGGGUGGCGAGUGGCGGACGGGUGAGGAAUACAUCGGAAUCUACUUUUUCGUGAGGGAUAACGUAGGGAAACUUACGCUAAUACCGCAUACGACCUACGGGUGAAAGCAGGGGAUCUUCGGACCUUGCGCGAUUGAAUGAGCCGAUGUCGGAUUAGCUAGUUGGCGGGGUAAAGGCCCACCAAGGCGACGAUCCGUAGCUGGUCUGAGAGGAUGAUCAGCCACACUGGAACUGAGACACGGUCCAGACUCCUACGGGAGGCAGCAGUGGGGAAUAUUGGACAAUGGGCGCAAGCCUGAUCCAGCCAUACCGCGUGGGUGAAGAAGGCCUUCGGGUUGUAAAGCCCUUUUGUUGGGAAAGAAAAGCAGCAGGUUAAUACCCCGCUGUUCUGACGGUACCCAAAGAAUAAGCACCGGCUAACUUCGUG
rnacentral:rRNA from 1 species